rnacentral:rRNA from 1 species
CUACGGGGAGGCAGCAGUAGGGAAUAUUCGGCAAUGGACGAAAGUCUGACCGAGCAACGCCGCGUGAGUGAAGAAGGUUUUCGGAUCGUAAAACUCUGUUGUUGGAGAAGAACAGGGAUGAGAGUAACUGUUCAUCCCUUGACGGUAUCUAACCAAGAAAGCCACGGCUAACUACGUGCCAGCAGCCGCGGUAAUACGUAGGUGGCAAGCGUUGUCCGGAUUUAUUGGGCGUAAAGCGAGCGCAGGCGGUUUCUUAAGUCUGAUGUGAAAUCCCCCGGCUCAACCGGGGAAGGGCAUUGGAAACUGGGAGACUUGAGUGCAGAAGAGGAGAGUGGAAUUCCAUGUGUAGCGGUGAAAUGCGUAGAUAUAUGGAGGAACACCGGUGGCGAAGGCGGCUCUCUGGACUGUAACUGACGCUGAGGCUCGAAAGCGUGGGGAGCAAACAGGAUUAGAUACCCUGGGUAGU